CGCACCUUCUCACGAUGAGGCUCUGUGCUCAGCUCCUGGGUCUGCUAAUGCUCUGGGUCCCUGGAUCCAGUGGGGAUACUGUGAUGACCCAGACUCCACUCUCCCUGCCCGUCACCCUUGGAGAACCAGCCUCCAUCUCCUGCAGGUCUAGUCAGAGCCUCCUGCAUAGUAAUGGAAACACCUAUUUGCACUGGUACCUGCAGAAGCCAGGCCAGUCUCCACAGCUUCUAAUCUAUAAAGUUUCCAACAGGGCCUCUGGGGUCUCAGACAGGUUCAGCGGCAGUGGGUCAGGGACAGAUUUCACACUGAAAAUCAGCCGGGUGAAGGCUGAAGAUAUUGGGGUUUAUUACUGCAUGCAAAGUACAUGGUUUCCUCCCACAGUGGUACAGCCCCAAACAGAAACCUCCCUGCUGGGGUGUCCCAGCUGCUUACAUGUGCCACUUGUCUGGGGAGUAGCUCAGCAGGGUCUCUUGAGUCUGCAGAAGAGAAAGCUGUUGGAGAACUCAGGGGCAGAGUUUGCUAUUGAGGAAUCUGGCCCAUGA